ensembl:lncRNA
UGCCAGCCAGCAGGAGAGUACACCCCAACAACACCGACCCGAAGACAUGACGGGCACGCUCGUUUAUAAGGCGUCUCGCCCUGAGAGUAAAAGCUGGUACCGACUCCGGCAAUCCGUCUGGGUUCCGGGUGUGGGACACGAACCCAUGGCAGAGCCAAGGGUGGAGAAUUCGGCUCCGACUCCAGAAGUGACCCUGACACCGAACCCCAUGGACGGCGAUGAGGAGGGCAAGACUCCUCCGCCGGCUGCGGCCGCUGCCGCAGCAGCACACAUCAUGCACCCUCAGCUGAGCUGCCAUCUUGGCUUCAUCAUCAUCAUCCCACCCCUGGCUCAAGCUUGUUUCGCAGUAAGCAUGCUGGGAUAUUUCCCUGUGGCAAACCUGAGCGAUCAUGUAUUAUUUACAUUUUUUUUUUGAAAACAUCAAAACAUGGUAUGCCUUUUUUCAGUAUAACUCGUUGUCUCCUGGUCAAUUUCGCGAUAGACAAGUUAUUAUAUGCAUCGGUAUAAUUUCAAUCGUGGUGGAGGUUAUUAAAACAUCAGGGUAAAUCGUGUUAUUAUCCCAAAAUGAUCACAUCAUAGACUGUAUGUUCACUGGCUAAACCCCAGUGUGCACAUCAGCAUUUUUCAUCACCGAAAAUCGAUAUGAUUAACAAAGAAAUUAUUGAUAAAUAUUGUUUGACAAAUUGAUCAAUAAUUUAGGUUGCAAUUUCAAAUAGCUACUAUGCAAGCGUCUAACCACUAGCCCAAUCACUACACUUUCUCAAAGCAUAUUAAAGUAAAGAAUUUCGAUCUGACUAUAAGCUACUGACCACAUGAGGAUAGGCCUAUAAUUAUAUCUUUCAUUAAACGGGGACUUACCUUUGAUAACAUAAAUAUCCUAUUACAAUAUGACCUAUGCAGCUUUGGAUCAUAUUUUCUAUAUAUGUAUGUAUAUGUUGUGUGUUAAUUGCAAUUGAGCUUGAAAGAAAACAAACAACCUGCUACACAGGAUUAAUAGUAGUAGCCUAAUGAUUCCAAUUCUGUUAUCUUGCGACAGACCUGUCCCAUUGUUGUGAUUGAUAAUGUUAGAGAUGUUGUAUCAUCCCAGGACCAAACCAACUUCCCUGAAAAAAAAAAAGUGUCUUCUCACAACUGGUGUUGAAUAAAUUGGCAGAAAAAGACCUGUGCACUUGUAGGGACUUGAAUCAUACCAGAGAUGAGUGCUGCUAG